CCUACGGGUGGCAGCAGUCGAGAAUCAUUCACAAUGGGGGAAACCCUGAUGGUGCGACGCCGCGUGGGGGAAUGAAGGUCUUCGGAUUGUAAACCCCUGUCAUGUGGGAGCAAAUUAAAAAGAUAGUACCACAAGAGGAAGAGACGGCUAACACUGUGUCAGCAGCCGCGGUAAUACAGAGGGCUCAAGGGUUGUUCGGAAUCACGGGGCGUAAGGCGUGCGUAGGCUGUUUCGUAAGUCGUGUGUGAAAGGCGCGGGCUCAACCCGCGGACGGCACAUGAUACUGCGGUACUAGAGUAAUGGAGGGGGAACCGGAAUUCUCGGUGUAGCAGUGAAAUGCGUAGAUAUCGAGAGGAACACUCGUGGCGAAGGCGGGUUCCUGGACAUUAACUGACGCUGAGGCACGAAGGCCAGGGGAGCGAAAGGGAUUAGAUACCCUGGUAGUC
rnacentral:rRNA from 1 species